GGUCUCAUAGCUCAACUGGAUAGAGCACCUCCCUUCUAAGGAGGCGGUUCGGGGUUCGAGUCCCUGUGGGAUCACAA
rnacentral:tRNA from 3 species